rnacentral:rRNA from 1 species
GGUGAGUAACACGUGGGCAACCUACCUAUAAGACUGGGAUAACUCGCGGAAACGUGAGCUAAUACCGGAUAAUACUUUUUAUUGCAUAGUAAGAAGUUUGAAAGGCGGCGUAAGCUGUCACUUAUAGAUGGGCCCGCGGCGCAUUAGCUAGUUGGUGAGGUAAAGGCUCACCAAGGCAACGAUGCGUAGCCGACCUGAGAGGGUGAUCGGCCACACUGGGACUGAGACACGGCCCAGACUCCUACGGGAGGCAGCAGUAGGGAAUCUUCCGCAAUGGACGAAAGUCUGACGGAGCAACGCCGCGUGAACGAAGAAGGUUUUCGGAUCGUAAAGUUCUGUUGUUAGGGAAGAACAAGUACCGUUCGAAUAGGGCGGUACCUUGACGGUACCUAUCGAGGAAGCCCCGGCUAACUACGUGCCAGCAGCCGCGGUAAUACGUANGGGGCAAGCGUUGUCCGGAAUUAUUGGGCGUAAAGCGCGCGUAGGCGGUUUCUUAAGUCUGAUGUGAAAUCUUGCGGCUCANCCGCAAGCGGUCAUUGGAAACUGGGGAACUUGAGUGCAGAAGAGGAGAGUGGAAUUCCACGUGUAGCGGUGAAAUGCGUAGAGAUGUGGAGGAACACCNGUGGCGAANGCGACUCUCUGGUCUGUAACUGACGCUGAGGUGCGAAAGCGUGGGGAGCGAACAGGAUUAGAUACCCUGNNANUCCACGCC